GCCUGGGUGGCUCAGUCGGUUGAGCGUCUGACUUCAGCUCAGGUCAUGAUCUCACAGUCCGUGGGUUCGAGCCCCGCAUUGGGCU
rnacentral:tRNA from 1 species